rnacentral:rRNA from 1 species
GACGAACGCUGGCGGCGUGCUUAACACAUGCAAGUCGAACGGAAAGGCCCUGCUUUUGUGGGGUGCUCGAGUGGCGAACGGGUGAGUAACACGUGAGUAACCUGCCCUUGACUUUGGGAUAACUUCAGGAAACUGGGGCUAAUACCGGAUAGGAGCUCCUGCUGCAUGGUGGGGGUUGGAAAGUUUCGGCGGUUGGGGAUGGACUCGCGGCUUAUCAGCUUGUUGGUGGGGUAGUGGCUUACCAAGGCUUUGACGGGUAGCCGGCCUGAGAGGGUGACCGGCCACAUGGGGACUGAGAGACGGCCCAGACUCCUACGGGAGGCAGCAGGGGGGAAUAUGGCACAAGGGGCGGAAGCCUGAUGCAGCAACGCCGCGUGCGGGAGGACGGCCUUCGGGUUGUAAACCGCUUUCGCCGGUGACGAAGCGGGAGGGAGGGUAAUGGGUAAAGAAGCACCGGCUAACUACGUG